AGCCAGACUAACCUCGAGAGUGCUGUCAGAGCUGGUACAGGUGAUUUUGGUGAAGACCAUCACAGAUUACCUCUGGGCAGAGCAGCCAGGCCUUCUUCUAACCCAAAAGCCAAGCCAGCCUGAAUAAGCCCAAAUCUUUCCAAAACGAAGAGAACCAGAGCACCAAAAUAAAUAAAUAAAUAAAAUAAUAAUAAUAAUAAAAAAAAAUCUUUCUACCCAGUUAAUUAACUGCCCAUCUUUGUUUUCCAGGCCCCAAAGCUCCUGCUGUCUCAAAGCCACAAGUGCUGCUGGCUCUUUUCUUCCAUGACCAACACUUUGCUCCACUGCCUGAUGCUUUAAAUGUACUAGGGAAUGCAGGCAUGGUGCUAACAUCACAACUGCUGUUCGUGUACAGGCUCACUGCCCAGUCAAGACAUACCUAUCCUUCUCCAGGGACAACAAUCCACUGCAAACCAUCUUCAGAGAAGUAUUCUUUUCAUCUGCUUCUUUUUUCACCCUCCUAGGAUUUCAAGCCUCUCUCAUAUCUGUUGAUAACACAUCUGUGACAGAGGGAAUAUACAUAAUGAAUGAGCUAUUAAAUUGCAGGAUCCUACUGAAAGGCUGCAAGAAACUCAGACUUUUCCAGAGUGCUAACAUGAUUCAUACUGUAUGUUUGCAUGAUAUUGGCAGCUGUAAGACUUGGGAUUAUUUUAAAAGGUUGUGUUCUCACAUAUAUUUAAGUAUUUGUCAUUGUGGGUCUUCAUGGGAAGUCUGUGUUUAAGCUGUACAAGAAUGCUAAAGAGAAAUGAUUAUUGGUAGCAGAUCAUUUGGGACCAUCCACUUCCACCUCUUGGCUUCAGAACUCAACAAAUCCAGCUCCAGCUGAAGAGACCAAGACACAGCUUCAUGCAGAGAGCGUCACUGGAUCUCUGAGCAGUGAGCACAGCUGACCCAUGGGGCCACAUGGGUCACGGUCACUUGAGUGCAGCCCAGUAUUGUCAGUGGAACUUCUGGAACUGGAAGAUCACCAUUCAGUUCCUUUUAGACUCUACAGACAGCCCAGAUUCAACGCCAGUAACUCAUGCAAUUGCUAUGAACAGCAAAAUGGGAUUGCUAGUAUGAGGUGAUGUUUCUUGUCACUGUGGAAUUUGCCAUGAGAUAGUUAGAUGGCACUGGAAGCCAAAGAAGAAUGGAGUUCAAAAUCCCAAAUAUUAUCCUAAAAGCACUAUUUAUUUUAAUAACUAUGAGCUCCAUGUGAGGACCAUUACACCAAAUAAUGUGAAGAAAACUCUGUGGCAGACAGACCCAUUGCCUGUGCUGAAAUCCAGAUGGCAAUGCCAGCCAGUUUCUGACGGAUAUUUACCUAGGCUCCUUUCAACAUUUUCUUGAUGUUCUUCAGAUGCUGUCGGUAGCUGAAAGCUUUAUUCAGUGUGCCUCCAAAAUUCCUGCGCUCCAACAUUCCACUGAGCUCAGCGGUUGGGAUGCCAGCAGAGCUGACCACCUACAACCAAGCCUUGCAGAAUGGUAUGAACGGAUCCCAAACAAAAAUUGGUUAUUUCCAAGCAGCCCUGUCUCACCAUAGAGAGAUGUGGAAACAAGUAAAUAAAAAGUCAGUCGUUUCGAGCCCA
rnacentral:lncRNA from 1 species